rnacentral:rRNA from 1 species
GACGAACGCUGGCGGCGUGCUUAACACAUGCAAGUCGAACGGAAAGGCCCUGCUUUUGUGGGGUGCUCGAGUGGCGAACGGGUGAGUAACACGUGAGUAACCUGCCCUUGACUUUGGGAUAACUUCAGGAAACUGGGGCUAAUACCGGAUAGGAGCUCCUGCUGCAUGGUGGGGGUUGGAAAGUUUCGGCGGUUGGGGAUGGACUCGCGGCUUAUCAGCUUGUUGGUGGGGUAGUGGCUUACCAAGGCUUUGACGGGUAGCCGGCCUGAGAGGGUGACCGGCCACAUUGGGACUGAGAUACGGCCCAGACUCCUACGGGAGGCAGCAGUGGGGAAUAUUGCACAAUGGGCGGAAGCCUGAGGCAGCAACGCCGCGUGCGGGUUGACGGCCUUCGGGUUGUAAACCGCUUUCGCCUGUGACGAAGCGUGAGUGACGGUAAUGGGUAAAGAAGCACCGGCUAACUACGU